AGAGAGAGACAUGCGUGCAUAUCAAUAAGCGGAGGAAAAGAAACUAACUAGGAUUCCCUCAGUAACGGCGAGUGAAGCGGGAAGAGCUCAAAUUUGAAAUCUUCAAGGUUCUACCUUGACGAAUUGUAGUUUAAAGAAGUGUUUUCUGUUGGAGUUUUGGUAAAAGUUCUUUGGAAUAGGACAUCAUAGAGGGUGAGAAUCCCGUAUUUGACCAUUAUUUCCAGCUUUGUGAUACACUUUCAAAGAGUCGGAUUGUUUGGGAAUGCAGUCCAAAAUGGGUGGUAAAUUUCAUCUAAAGCUAAAUAUUGGCGAGAGACCGAUAGCGAAUAAGUACCGUGAGGGAAAGAUGAAAAGAACUUUGAAAAGAGAGUUAAACAGUACGUGAAAUUGUCAAAAGGGAAGCGUUUGACACCAGUGUUGUUUUUCUGAAAAUCAAUUAAAGAACUGUUUAUGCUAGGUUGUUUAGACUUUAUCAGCUAACUGUUUAGUUUUGAGCUUUUCUUUAAUGCACUUUUCAGUUAACAAGUCAACAUCAAUUUCUUUUGCUGUAAAAAAGCUUGAGGAAGGUGGCUUGAGAUUCGUCUUAAGUGUUUAUAGCCUCUUGCCUAUGCAGUCGGAGAGAUUGAGGUCUGCAGCGUAGAUCCUUCGGGGCUAAAUGCAUUUGUGCUAAGUUAUAGCAUUUUAUAGACAACUUGUUGACUAUGAUUUGUCUUGUAGCUUACUCGCUUAUGUUAUUUUACCUACGCUUAGGAUGUUGAGCGCAUGUCUCUCUCU
rnacentral:rRNA from 1 species